ACCCUAACCACCUCCUCCCAAACUGGACGGAAGCGAGGACACUCAUCGGCCACAUUUUACUGUGUCAAGGGCUGCUGUGACUUCAGGGCAAGAAGCCACCUCCGUCUCUGAUUUCUAGUCUUCUUUUAGGAAGAGAAGAAGGAUGGAAAGAGAAACACAGAUGAGAGAAAAACAUCGAUGGGUUGCCUCCCACAUGUGCGGGGACUGGGGACCAAACCCCUCCAACCCAGGCAUGUGCUCUGGCCAGAACUGAACCCACGACCUUUUGGUUUACAGGAAGACAUUCCAACCAAUUAAGAGACAUGGGCCAGGGCUUGACAGUCAGACAGAAGAGCUUCUCAAGCGGCCAAAAUUGUGAGCCGAGGAAAGGACGUUGGUGCAGGGGCGGUAAGUGUGACCUGGGAGUCUGGGCCACCUGGCUGCGCACCUGUUCGUCUCCUCUGGCCCUGACUGCCAUCAAUUCCCGACACACCACUUCCAUCUUAUGAUGGACCGACCUGGCGGGUCUGACAAAACCCUGCCCAUACUGGACAUGUGGCUUCAGGGUCAUCUGAUGCUUUACGGGAUGCUCAGUUCCCUCAAGGCCCAUGAGCAUGCGAGGAGCCAUUUUCAAGUGACGUGUUCUCUGCUGCAGAUGACCUGGCCUUGCUACAGAGCCCUAGGAGUCUACCUUGUGAUUCUCCUAUUGGAGCUUAACUCUCGUGGCUAUUCUGCUUAUCGCAGAUCCUACUGCCCCAAAGAAUCUCCUGGAAUGAAUGGCCCAUCCAACAAGACUAAUUACAGUGCGUGCUGCACCUGCUACAGAGUUUUACAUGCUCUGGAUCCCACUGAAACCUGUCACCCAGUACAGAGCCAGAGCAGUAUUCCCAAACUGUAAAUUUCCACAAAGCCUACAGUGCUUACUGUGUUUCUUUGGUGGCAGGAUAUUAAUAAAAUGAG